rnacentral:rRNA from 1 species
UACGAAGGGUGCAAACGUUGCUCGGAAUUACUGGGCGUAAAGGGCGCGUAGGCGGCCUUCUAAGUCGAACGUGAAAUCCCCGGGCUCAACCCGGGAACUGCGUCCGAUACUGGAAGGCUUGAAUCCGGGAGAGGGAUGUGGAAUUCCAGGUGUAGCGGUGAAAUGCGUAGAUAUCUGGAGGAACACCGGUGGCGAAGGCGACAUCCUGGACCGGUAUUGACGCUGAGGAGCGAAAGCGUGGGGAGCAAACAGG